rnacentral:rRNA from 1 species
AACGAACGCUGGCGGCAGGCCUAACACAUGCAAGUCGAACGCUGUAGCAAUACAGAGUUGCAGACGGGUGAGUAACGCGUGGGAACCUUCCCAAUGGUACGGAAUAGCCCAGGGAAACUCGGGGUAAUACCGUAUACGCCCCUAGGGGGAAAGAUUUAUCGCCAUUGGAUGGGCCCGCGUCGGAUUAGCUAGUUGGUGAGGGAAUGGCUCACCAAGGCAACGAUCCGUAGCUGGUUUGAGAGAAUGACCAGCCACACUGGGACUGAGACACGGCGCAGACGCCUACGGGGGGCAGCAGUGGGGAGGCUUAGACAAUGGGCGGAAGCCUGGUCCAGCCAUGCCGCGUAAGUGACGAAGGACUUAGGGUUGUAAAGCUCUUUUGCCGGGGACGAUAAUGACGGUACCCGGAGAAUAAGUCCCGGCUAACUUCGUGCCAGCAGCCGCCGCGG